ACGCUGGCGGCAGGCUUAACACAUGCAAGUCGAACGGUAACAGGAAUUAGCUUGCUAAUUUGCUGACGAGUGGCGGACGGGUGAGUAAUGCUUGGGAAUCUGGCUUAUGGAGGGGGAUAACUACGGGAAACUGUAGCUAAUACCGCGUAAAAUCUUCGGAUUAAAGGGUGGGACUUUCGAGCUACCUGCCAUAAGAUGAGCCCAAGUGGGAUUAGGUAGUUGGUUAGGUAAAGGCUGACCAAGCCGACGAUCUCUAGCUGGUCUGAGAGGAUGACCAGCCACACUGGAACUGAGACACGGUCCAGACUCCUACGGGAGGCAGCAGUGGGGAAUAUUGCACAAUGGGGGGAACCCUGAUGCAGCCAUGCCGCGUGAAUGAAGAAGGCCUUCGGGUUGUAAAGUUCUUUCGGUGACGAGGAAGGUUGAUAGGUUAAUAGCCUAUCAAAUUGACGUUAAUCACAGAAGAAGCACCGGCUAACUCCGUGCCAGCAGCCGCGGUAAUACGGGGGGUGCGAGCGUUAAUCGGAAUAACUGGGCGUAAAGGGCACGCAGGCGGUGACUUAAGUGAGAUGUGAAAGCCCCGAGCUUAACUUGGGAAUUGCAUUUCAUACUGGGUCGCUAGAGUACUUUAGGGAGGGGUAGAAUUCCACGUGUAGCGGUGAAAUGCGUAGAGAUGUGGAGGAAUACCGAAGGCGAAGGCAGCCCCUUGGGAAUGUACUGACGCUCAUGUGCGAAAGCGUGGGGAGCAAACAGGAUUAGAUACCCUGGUAGUCCACGCUGUAAACGAUGUCGAUUUGGGGAUUGGGCUUUGAGCUUGGUGCCCGUAGCUAACGUGAUAAAUCGACCGCCUGGGGAGUACGGCCGCAAGGUUAAAACUCAAAUGAAUUGACGGGGGCCCGCAC
rnacentral:rRNA from 1 species